rnacentral:misc_RNA from 1 species
AUGAAUGAACUGACUGAGCAAGCUCCUUGGAGCCGCUCUGGUCGUCAACACCUUGUGAAUUGUGAAUGUCUUUGGCAAGUGAUGCGUUUCGAGUAAUCGAGAAGCAGAGUUUCGCUCGGUUUGAGCGAAAGCUUGCCUAUGAAUUUUAAACUAUUGCCUUUUGAGCCUGACCAAUUUUUAUCAGAGAAAUACUGAAA